rnacentral:lncRNA from 1 species
GUACAUGAUGCAAACAAACGUUCCUACUAUGGAUCUGGCAUGAGGCUGAGUUAUUCUAAUUUCAAAGCCUAGGUACAUGUUCUAGACUAUGUACUCGAGCAGACAAAUCGAGCGGAGGAAGGGGCUACGUACCGGGAACCAAAAGGCCAUCCAACUUAGUAACUUGUCCGAGCCUCUUUCUAUUUCAAGGUAUGACAGUGACAAAAUAAGGAGUCUCGACCGGCGAGCACAUUUCCGAAGAUGGGAAGAGAAGGGUUUCCUAGCAUUUUUAUAUACAAUUCACAUAAUAUCAAAGUGGUAAAAGCAUUUACCACAUUAGGCUCAAACAUGUAAGAAACUCCGAUGAACUAAUUUGGCCGGAAC